AUUGAACGCUGGCGGCAUGCUUUACACAUGCAAGUCGAACGGAGUUGGAGCUUGCUCCAAUUUAGUGGCGAACGGGUGAGUAAUAUAUCGGAACGUACCCGGCAAUGGGGGAUAACGUAGCGAAAGUUACGCUAAUACCGCAUAUGCCCUGAGGGGGAAAGCAGGGGACCAGUAAUGGCCUUGCGUUGACGGAGCGGCCGAUAUCAGAUUAGCUAGUUGGUGAGGUAAAGGCUCACCAAGGCGACGAUCUGUAGCGGGUCUGAGAGGAUGAUCCGCCACACUGGGACUGAGACACGGCCCAGACUCCUACGGGAGGCAGCAGUGGGGAAUUUUGGACAAUGGGCGCAAGCCUGAUCCAGCCAUGCCGCGUGAGUGAAGAAGGCCUUCGGGUUGUAAAGCUCUUUCAGCCGGAAAGAAAACGCACCACUUAAUACGUGGUGUGGAUGACGGUACCGGAAGAAGAAGCACCGGCUAACUACGUGCCAGCAGCCGCAGUAAGAC
rnacentral:rRNA from 1 species